GUCCAAGGGCGGGAAUCGAACCCACGACCUUCCGCUUACCGGGCAGAUGCCAUGUCCACUAGGCUACCCUGGA